AACGAACGCUGGCGGCGUGCCUAACACAUGCAAGUCGAACGAGAAAGGGGCUUCGGCUCCGAGUAAAGUGGCGCACGGGUGAGUAACACGUGGGUAACCUGCCUCUAAGAUUGGGAUAACUCGUCGAAAGAUGAGCUAAUACCGAAUAAGACCACAGUUCCCGCGGGAACAGGGGUCAAAGGUAGCCUCUGCUUGCAAGCUAUCACUUAGAGAUGGGCCUGCGCACCAUUAGCUAGUUGGUAGGGGAACGGCCUACCAAGGCAAAGAGGGUUAGCUGGUCUGAGAGGAUGCUCAGCCACACUGGGACUGGGACACGGUCCAGCCUCCUACGGGAGGCAGCAGUGGGGAAUAUUGCGCAAUGGGCGCAAGCUUGACGCAGCAACGCCGCGUGAGUGAUGAAGGCCUUCGGGUCGUAAAGCUCUGUCGGGAGGAACGAAUGCUCCUGAGGUUAACAGCCUCGGGAGGUGACGGUACCUUCAAAGGAAGCACCGGCUAACUCUGUG
rnacentral:rRNA from 1 species